rnacentral:lncRNA from 1 species
UUUUUUUUUUUUUUUCUUUUUAAGUUUUGAGACAGAGUCUUGCUCUGUCACCAGGCUGGAGUGCAGUGGCUCAAUCUUAGCUCACUGCAACCUCUGCUUCCUGGGUUCAAGCGAUUCUCCUACCUCAGUCUCCCAUGUAGCUGGGAUUACAGGCGCCUGCCACCAAGCCCAGCUAAUUUUUGUAUUUUAGUAGAGACGAGGUUUUGUCUUGUUGGCCAGGCUGGUCUCGAACUCCUGACCUCAGGUGAUCUGCCUGCCUCAGCGUCCAAAAGUGCUGGGAUUACAGACGUGAGCCAUUGUGCCUGGCCAAAAGCAUGUAAAUUUGAAUACAGUAGGGUAGAGUGGUGAAAACAGGGCCUUUGGAAUCAGACAGCAUUUGAAUUCUGGGUCUGCCACCUACUAGCUGUGCAACCUUGGAUGGAUGAAUCAUUUAACUUUUCUGAGCUCUAAUAUCUAAAUCUGUAAAAUGGGGAUAAUUGUACCCACUUGAUAAGGUAGCUGUGAAUGAAAUGAAAUGGCACCUGUGAAAUUCCUACUACAGUGGCUUGCAUGUAGUAAGUGCUUCAUCAAUAUUAGCAUUAUUGCCAUUCUACAAAAUAUUGGAGAUGUUCUUAAACAAAGGGUAACUGCAAAAGAAUAGUGCAAAUGGGUAAGAAUAUACUGGAUGGGUUAAAGGACAGGUUGCUCUGACACUUGUGAAAGCUGUGAAGAACACACAAGAAUUCUUUGGGUAAAAUCAUCAAGCAGGAAGGCGGACGUCAUGCCUGGACCUGUCAAAGUGUUGUUGAUGCUGAUGGAAGAGCAGGAUAAUGACUUGCGUGUGUCACUGCUGUCUCCCUUGGAAUGAUGUGCUUUAACAACAAACACAAUUAAGAUGGAGUUGAAGGCCAAUCAAGAUCAUUCCUCACCACCUUAAGUGAGUGUCAUUCUCACUGCAGGGCACUGAUAGAGCUUACAAAUGUGGUGGCGGAGGCUUGAUCUACAUGAACUACUUAGGAUAAGUACUUUGAAAAAUCAUGGGGAAACGGAGAGGAGUCAGAAGCCUGCAAAAGGGCAAAUGUGGCUUCAAUUUUCAAAAACAGGGGAAAGGAUAGACUUAGAAAGUACAAAGGUGCAUUUAGCGUCCAUCCUGGCAAAGUUCUAGAGGAAAUUAUUUAACUGAGGUGACAGUCCUGGUAGCCUCUUAUCUGGCCUCUUCACUUCUGCCCUUGCACACCCCAGACUCCCAUGUUCUGUUCUCAGUCUAGCAACCAGAGGGAUCCCUUUAAGUCAAAUCACACCUUGUCUGCUCAGACCUCUCCAUGGGCUCCCCCUCUUACUGAAAGGAAAAGCCAGCCCUUCCAGUGGUCUACAGGGCCCAAUACCGCCACCUGCUGCUUCUCUGACAGCAGGUCUCUCGGGUACUUUUCCUCCACCCCGUCUUGCUCCGGCCAUGCUAGCCUCCUUGCUCUUGGCCUUCACUCUUGCCAUUCUCUCUGCCUGGAUCACUCUUCCUCCAGACAACUGCUUAGUUCACUCCCCCAUGUCUUUGCUGAAAUGUUAACCUUCUCAAUGAGGCCUUUUAUGACCACCCAAUCGAGGCCCCACUUACCUUUCCUGACAUUUUUUUCCUCCCUAGUACUUAUCCCCAUUCAACAUAUUAUAU